AAGGCCCGCGAUCUAGGAACUUUGAUGGACACAUGAUCAGAGCUUACCCGCUUACUACAGAGAAAACCAGCCCCGUUAUAUAGCUUGGGUAAAAAUGCCUGUUAGAUCUACCUCUGCUACAAAUCAUCUUUAUGUUUCUUGAUUUUGUUUCUUCAAUAAUGAAGAAAAAAUUAAAAUUGUUCAAAGAGCCACGGGGGGGAGGGGCUCUAGGUUCGCUUAAAAUAUGGCGCGCCUAUAUAUCUGAAAUAGUGCCCCUGCUGCCAUAGAAACUGACACGCCUGCUAAAGAAAAGUCCUUUAGGAGACCCAGCGAGAUAACCCUUUGUCAUCCGCACCCCUUCCCCGGCUGGCCCAAUAGCACGACCCAUUGUGAGGGUUAGUGACUCUUGCCAUUUUACCAAGACAGUGGUUGCGUCCUGAGCCUUUCUGACGCUUAAACCGCGACCCCCUCCCAGGGCUGUAAUUGGCUGGCCGAGGCUGGGGGCGAGCAAACAUACGCCCUGCAGUGCCGUCACCAGUUCCCCCCUCCCACCUGGGUGUUGGGCAGCUAUUUGUGUGCGGACGCGGGAUUGGUCGGUCGCCUCCCGCGAGGGGUUGGGAAGCCGGGUAGUGCGCACUCGCGCGUGCGUGAGCUGGCGCGCGAGAACGGGACCGGUCGCGCCGAGGCUCGAGCGGCCGUCGCCAUUUUGUAAGGUUCUCUCUGACGCGGGAGCCGCCGCCAACACCGCCGCUACCCGGAGGCUCUUGUCAGAAUGGUGAAGCUGUUCAUUGGAAACCUGCCCCGGGAGGCCACAGAGCAAGAGAUCCGCUCACUCUUUGAGCAGUAUGGGAAGGUGCUGGAAUGUGACAUCAUUAAGAACUAUGGCUUUGUGCACAUAGAGGACAAGACGGCGGCGGAGGAUGCCAUCCGUAACCUGCACCACUACAAGCUGCACGGGGUGAACAUCAAUGUGGAAGCCAGCAAGAACAAGAGCAAAGCUUCAACCAAGUUACAUGUGGGCAACAUCAGCCCCACCUGUACCAACCAAGAGCUUCGGGCCAAGUUUGAGGAAUAUGGUCCAGUCAUCGAAUGUGACAUCGUGAAAGAUUAUGCCUUUGUACACAUGGAGCGGGCUGAAGAUGCAGUGGAGGCCAUCAGGGGCCUUGACAACACAGAGUUUCAAGGCAAAAGAAUGCAUGUGCAGUUGUCCACCAGCCGGCUUCGGACUGCUCCUGGAAUGGGAGAUCAGAGUGGCUGCUAUCGGUGUGGCAAAGAGGGACACUGGUCCAAAGAGUGCCCAGUAGACCGUACAGGGCGCGUGGCAGACUUUACUGAGCAGUACAAUGAACAGUAUGGAGCAGUACGCACACCUUACACCAUGGGCUACGGGGAAUCCAUGUAUUACAAUGAUGCAUAUGGAGCCCUUGAUUACUAUAAGCGCUACCGGGUCCGCUCUUAUGAAGCGGUGGCAGCAGCUGCUGCUGCUUCUGCAUACAACUAUGCAGACCAGACCAUGUCUCAUCUGCCUCAAGUCCAAAGCUCAGCUGUGACCAGUCACCUCAACUCCACUUCUGUGGAUCCCUAUGACAGACACCUGUUACCGAACUCUGGUGCUGCUGCCACCUCAGCUGCUAUGGCUGCUGCCGCCGCCACUUCUUCCUCCUACUAUGGAAGGGACAGGAGCCCUCUGCGUCGUGCUGCAGCAGUGCUCCCCACAGUUGGAGAGGGCUACGGUUAUGGGCCAGAGAGUGAGCUGUCUCAGGCUUCAGCUGCACGGAAUUCCCUGUAUGACAUGGCCCGAUAUGAACGGGAGCAGUAUGUGGACCGAGCACGUUAUUCAGCAUUUUAAAAACUGGAGGUGUGAACCUCAAAUGGACUGAAUAACCCUGAGUUGGUUGCAGUCCCAGGAGCCUGAUGUUAAUGAGGCUGCCAGGAUGAAAUACAACACAACUGUUGGGGAUCCAAAUUCGGGUCUCACCUUAGCAGAACUGAUCAAGAACGUCACAACUUUUGAAGUCGAUUGGCACAGAUCAAGACCAAGAUUUGGCCCUUUGUCUGUAAUAAGUAGAGGAACUUGGUGACGGGACCAGGGCCCUUGUACUCGGAGCCAGGCUGCUCUCCAGGCAUUGUGUAAGCCUCUUGUGUUGUGCUCUCUUUCAGGUAGGAUAAUUGCGGACUGAACCCUCGGGCUGCGGUCAUAUAUGAGAACUUGCUCCGCGCGGUCCCUUUUGCCGGGAUGUUUCCAUUGCUUCAUGUUUCAGUAAACAAAGGAGUUUGUGACCAACUAUGUUUUCUUUCUUAAUUUAAUUCUUCUAAGUUGACUUUUCUUUCCUUCUGAUAUUAGUGUCUAUAGCCUUUCAAUAUGUUCCUUAUAUUCUCAGCCUCUGAGCAGCCCUAGGUAAGGAUUAUGCUGACAUCCCUUUUCCUGUACAGUGGAAUCCCUCUUAUCUUGCUUUUCCGUAGGAGUUGAACCCUUCUCCCUGCCUACCUGCAGCAUCUCCUUUCCCUUUAAAAUGACCAUGUAGUGGCAAGCAGCCUUCUCUCUGUUAGCUCUGGACUCUAACAUUGAAGCUACUUUUCUGAAAUUGCUAGGUCCAUUGGGGGUUUUGUUGUUGUUUUGUUUUAUUUCGUUUUUUGUCUGACCUGUGAUCGUGAUACAGCAUUAGCUGAAAUUUAGCCUUGUUUUCUCUGCUUCCACUUUUUUUUAAAAUUUUUUUUUGACAAAUAAACAUUUCUAACACUUUA